CGGGCUGUGGCGCAGUUGGUAGCGCGCCGCGUUUGGGACGCGGAGGUCGUGAGUUCGAGUCUCACCAGCCCGA
rnacentral:tRNA from 1 species